CGGACGGGUGAGUAAUGUCUGGGAAACUGCCUGAUGGAGGGGGAUAACUGCUGGAAACGGUAGCUAAUACCGCAUAACGUCGCAAGACCAAAGAGGGGGACCUUAGGGCCUCUUGCCAUCGGAUGUGCCCAGAUGGGAUUAGCUAGUAGGUGGGGUAAUGGCUCACCUAGGCGACGAUCCCUAGCUGGUCUGAGAGGAUGACCAGCCACACUGGAACUGAGACACGGUCCAG
rnacentral:rRNA from 1 species